UACGUAGGGUGCAAGCGUUAAUCGGAAUUACUGGGCGUAAAGGGCGCGUAGGCGGCAAUUCAAGUCAUCUGUGAAAUCUCCGGGCUUAACUCGGAACGGUCAGGUGAUACUGCUUUGCUAGAGUGCGGAAGGGGCAAUCGGAAUUCUUGGUGUAGCGGUGAAAUGCGUAGAUAUCAAGAGGAACACCUGAGGUGAAGACGGGUUGCUGGGCCGACACUGACGCUGACAGCGCGAAAGCCAGGGGAGCAAACGGG
rnacentral:rRNA from 1 species